UACGAAGGGGGCUAGCGUUGCUCGGAAUCACUGGGCGUAAAGCGCACGUAGGCGGCUUUCUAAGUCAGACGUGAAAUCCCUCAGCUUAACUGGGGAACUGCGUCUGAUACUGGCGAGCUUGAGUGCAGGAGAGGAACGCGGAAUUCCAGGUGUAGCGGUGAAAUGCGUAGAUAUCAGGAGGAACACCGGUGGCGAAGGCGGGUCUCUGGGCAACAACUGACGCUGAGGAGCGAAAGCGUGGGGAGCGAACAGG
rnacentral:rRNA from 1 species